rnacentral:rRNA from 1 species
AGUGAACGCUGGCGGUAGGCCUAACACAUGCAAGUCGAACGGCAGCACAGUAAGAGCUUGCUCUUACGGGUGGCGAGUGGCGGACGGGUGAGGAAUACAUCGGAAUCUACUUUUUCGUGGGGGAUAACGUAGGGAAACUUACGCUAAUACCGCAUAUGACCUACGGGUGAAAGCAGGGGAUCUUCGGACCUUGCGCGAUUGAAUGAGCCGAUGUCGGAUUAGCUAGUUGGCGGGGUAAAGGCCCACCAAGGCGACGAUCCGUAGCUGGUCUGAGAGGAUGAUCAGCCACACUGGAACUGAGACACGGUCCAGACUCCUACGGGAGGCAGCAGUGGGGAAUAUUGGACAAUGGGCGCAAGCCUGAUGCAGCCAUACCGCGUGGGUGAAGAAGGCCUUCGGGUUGUAAAGCCCUUUUGUUGGGAAAGAAAAGCAGCAGGUUAAUACCCCGCUGUUCUGACGGUACCCAAAGAAUAAGCACCGGCUAACUUCGUG